UCCAGCUCCAGUAGCGUAUAUUAAAAGUUGCUGCAGUUAAAAAAGCUCGUAGUUGAAUUUCUGUUUGUAAGAGUCGAAGCUUUACAGCUAAGAUUUCUUCGAACAUCUGUUUGCAAGCAUACGUUCGGCCUUCACUGGUUGGCUAUGUAAGCAAGCGCUUUACCUUGAGAAAAUUAGAGUGUUCCAGGCAGGCUUCAGCCGGAAUACAUUAGCAUGGAAUAAUGGAAUAGGACUGGGGACUAUUUAUUGGUUUGAGGCUCCAGUAAUGAUUAAUAGGAACAGUCGGGGGCAUUGGUACUUAACAGUCAGAGGUGAAAAUUCUUGGAUUUGUUAAAGACUAACUAAUGCGAAAGCAUUUGCCAAGCAUGUUUUCAUUAAUCAAGAACGAAAGUUAGGGGAUCAAAGACGAUUAGAUACCGUCCUAGUCUUAACUGUAAACGAUUCCAUCUUAGAAUUGGGUGAAUAUUGAUGAUUCAUCCAGCGCUAUAAGAGAAUCAAAGUCUUUGGGUUCUUGGUGAGUACGAUCG
rnacentral:rRNA from 1 species